rnacentral:tRNA from 1 species
GGGCCCAUAGCUCAGUUGGAAGAGCGCUUCAAUGGCAUUGAAGAGGCCGUCGGUUCAAGUCCGACUGGGUCCACCA